CAGUAGCCACGGUAAUACGAAGGGUGCAAGCGUUACUCGGAAUUACUGGACGUAAAGCGUGCGUAGGUGGUGGUUUAAGUCCGUUGUGAAAGCCCUGGGCUCAACCUGGGAAUUGCAGUGGAUACUGGGUCACUAGAGUGUGGUAGAGGAUAGUGGAAUUUCCGGUGUAGCAGUGAAAUGCGUAGAGAUCGGAAGGAACAUCUGUGGCGAAGGCGACUAUCUGGGCCAACACUGACACUGAGGCACGAAAGCGUGGGGAGCAAACAGGAUUAGAACCCCUGUAGUCCCUGUCUCUUAUACA
rnacentral:rRNA from 1 species